rnacentral:rRNA from 1 species
GAUGAACGCUGGCGGCGUGCCUAAUACAUGCAAGUCGAGCGAACGGACGAGAAGCUUGCUUCUCUGAUGUUAGCGGCGGACGGGUGAGUAACACGUGGAUAACCUACCUAUAAGACUGGGAUAACUUCGGGAAACCGGAGCUAAUACCGGAUGAUAUUUUGAACCGCAUGGUUCAAAAGUGAAGACGGUCUUGCUGUCACUUAUAGAUGGAUCCGCGCUGCAUUAGCUAGUUGGUAAGGUAACGGCUUACCAAGGCAACGAUGCAUAGCCGACCUGAGAGGGUGAUCGGCCACACUGGAACUGAGACACGGUCCAGACUCCUACGGGAGGCAGCAGUAGGGAAUCUUCCGCAAUGGGCGAAAGCCUGACGGAGCAACGCCGCGUGAGUGAUGAAGGUCUUCGGAUCGUAAAACUCUGUUAUUAGGGAAGAACAUAUGUGUAAGUAACUGUGCACAUCUUGACGGUACCUAAUCAGAAAGCCACGGCUAACUACGUG